rnacentral:rRNA from 1 species
UACGUAGGGUCCAAGCGUUAAUCGGAAUUACUGGGCGUAAAGCGUGCGCAGGCGGUUCGCAAAGACAGGUGUGAAAUCCCCGGGCUUAACCUGGGAACUGCGCUUGUAACUAGCGGGCUAGAGUGCGGCAGAGGGGGGUGGAAUUCCACGUGUAGCAGUGAAAUGCGUAGAUAUCUGGAGGAACACCGGUGGCGAAGGCGAGUCCCUGGACAACACCUGACACUGAGGCACGAAAGCCGGGGGAGCAAACAGG